CCCUUAGAUGUUCUGGGCCGCACGCGCGCUACACUGAUGCAUUCAACGAGUCUAAAACCUGCUCUGAUAGGGGUGGGUAAUCUUUUGAAUGUGCAUCGUGAUUGGGAUAGAUGAUUGCAAUUUUUCAUCUUCAACGAGGAAUGCCUAGUAAGCGCAAGUCAUCAGCUUGCGUUGAUUACGUCCCUGCCCUUUGUACACACCGCCCGUCGCUCCUACCGAUUGAAUGAUCCGAUGAAUAUCAUGGAUUGAGGAUGCAAGCAGGUUCGCCUGUCUUCAUCUUCGAGAAGUGAAGUAAAUCUUAUCAUUUAGAGGAAGGAGAAGUCGUAACA
rnacentral:rRNA from 1 species